rnacentral:rRNA from 1 species
GUUUAAGAGCAACCCGGAGAACUGAAACAUCUAAGUAACCGGAGGAAAAGAAAUCAAUUGAGAUUCCGUUAGUAGUGGCGAGCGAACGCGGAACAGGCCAGUAACAAUAUUGAGAUAACUUGAAUAGUUUGGAAAAGCUAACCAUAGAGGGUGAUAGUCCCGUAUGGGUAAUGCUUAAUGUUGUUCUUGAGUAGAGCGGGACACGAGAAAUCUUGUUUGAAUAUAGGGGGACCACCCUCUAAGCCUAAAUACUCUUCAGUGACCGAUAGUGAACUAGUACCGUGAGGGAAAGGUGAAAAGAACCCCUAUUAGGGGAGUGAAAUAGAACCUGAAACCGUAUGCCUACAAACAGUCGAAGCUCUUUUUAGAGUGACGGCGUACCUUUUGUAUAAUGGGUCAGUGACUUAAUUUAUCCAGCAAGCUUAAGCCGUAAGGUGUAGGCGUAGCGAAAGCGAGUCUUAAAUGGGCGACCAAGUUGUAUGAAUUAGACCCGAAAACGAAUGAGCUUACCAUGAGCAGGUUGAAAGCAGGGUAACACUUGCCGGAGGACCGAACCAGUUGACGUUGAAAAGUCUUUGGAUGACUUGUGGUAAGGGGUGAAAGGCCAACCAAAUUCGUAGAUAGCUGGUUUUCCGCGAAAACUAUUUAGGUAGUGCGUUGAGUAAAUUGAUGUUUGGAGGUAGAGCACUAAAGGGGCUAGGGGAGAGAA